AUGGAAAGUGGGCUUUCAGAAACUGGCAUUGGCACAUGCCAAGAACUUUGGAGAAAGCAUUCUAGAAGCCAGGGGGUAGAGAAAGAAGGGUUAAUGGAUAGACAACUGUUACUUGGUACUUGGUCUUUGGUCUUGGUCUUGAACUGCCAUUUUGAUCCUGGUGCUGCCCAAACAGAGGGAGGAAGAGUUGCUUCUAGAACCUUUUCCUAUCUCAAGUCUUUGGAGAACAAAGGAAAACCCUUCAAUACUUCCCUGUGGUUCCUGAUCAGCAAAGAGCAGUUUGGAGCAGUUCUGGUUAUCCCUGUUGUCUCAGGUGUCAGAAGAUGAAGCUUCAUUAUAAGUUCAAGAUUGUUUUACAGAAGCACUUGAAGAAGGAUGAAUUGGUUUCAAUUCCUCAUGAAUCUGAAAUGAAGUAUUUCAAUCAGAAAGACAAGUGAAGAUCUAAAGAAAACAUUGGAGAUAUAGAGAUCUCAUCAACCAAUUAACCUGGAAGGAAAAUACAUCAUAUAGAAAAUGAAAAGAAAAAUAGAUAACUGAGAAUGAAUACAAAAGUGUAAUGUUUGGUAAUACAAUAUUAAUGACAUGAACAAUAAAACAGCAUACUUUAAGAGCA
rnacentral:lncRNA from 1 species